UUAAGAGUUUAUCGAGGUUAUUUUUUAAGCAAACACAAUUAUGUUUAUAUUUAGUUAUAAAGACAAAUCUAUCUGAAUAUAUACCUACAAUGGGGGGCUUGCCUUUACCAAAAUUGCAAAGAUGCUGUGGAUGCACUAGAAAACUAAAAAUAGCGUGCAUAUUAAUAGCUUUUUGGAGUAUGCUAUCUACGUCGCACAGUAUUCGCAUCUUAUUCUGUCCAGCAUGCAGUAAAAUUUAUUUUCAGGGAGAAGGAAGGGGAGAUUUUAUCCUAGAAAUAAUCAUAGUAAUGUGGGUACUUUUUGUACUCGACUUGUUCAUGUUGCUCAGCAGUUUUCUCUACCUAUUGGGACUGUUUUUGGGCAAAUAUCGAUUCACAGCAGAUCUUUUCAUGGGCUUCGGUUUUGCAACAGCCCUUACAAUGUGUGUUCAUGGAGUAUAUAAUGCUCUUCAAAUGAUCGAAGUAAACUGUUUUAACGGAAGCGACAGUAUUGCUCAUUUCAUAUAUUUUAUAUUGUGGAUGUACUUCAUACUCAUCGUGAACUCGCUUAUGGAUAAUAUGUAAACUUUUGUAGUGUUAAUUAUAAAUAAAUUAAAAUGAUAUUUGA